rnacentral:rRNA from 1 species
UACGAAGGGGGCUAGCGUUGCUCGGAAUCACUGGGCGUAAAGGGUGCGUAGGCGGGCCUUUAAGUCAGGGGUGAAAUCCUGGAGCUCAACUCCAGAACUGCCUUUGAUACUGAAGAUCUUGAGUUCGGGAGAGGUGAGUGGAACUGCGAGUGUAGAGGUGAAAUUCGUAGAUAUUCGCAAGAACACCAGUGGCGAAAGCGGCUCACUGGCCCGAUACUGACGCUGAGGCACGAAAGCGUGGGGAGCAAACAGG